UACGGAGGAUGCAAGCGUUAUCCGGAUUCACUGGGUUUAAAGGGUGCGUAGGCGGGUUUGUAAGUCAGUGGUGAAAGCCUGUAGCUUAACUACAGAAUUGCCAUUGAUACUGCAGAUCUUGAGUUCAGUUGAGGCAGGCGGAAUGUGCAGUGUAGCGGUGAAAUGCUUAGAUAUUGCACAGAACACCGAUUGCGAAGGUAGCUUGCGAAACUGAUACUGACGCUGAGUCACGAAAGCGUGGGGAGCAAACAGG
rnacentral:rRNA from 1 species